GGAAUCCGCCUGUAGAUUCUUAAUCUUUUUCUCCUGUUAUUUCUCUGCACCUCCCUUGCGGUUUGGUGGCCGUUUGUCCAUUUUAACGUAAAUGCUAAACUUUUACAGCUCGUUUCUCUGGGCCGGGAGGCGUGGCCAUAGUGGGAUUCGUAAAUUUGCGGCACGGAGUGUGGACGGGGGUUCCUGCAUUUGAUUGGGUCAGGCCAGUGUCAAUAAAGAAAAUUAACCAAUGGGCCGCUGUGAGUACUUUGUGGGCCGGCGCGGCCCAAAAAAAAGGCCUAUUUAUCGGCGAUUCGGCCCAAAAGUGCGUCGGCCCACCGGGAAAACGCCCGGUAUGCCAGAUGGCCAGUCCAGUCCAGUCCAGUCCAGCCCAGCCCAGCCCAGCCCAGCCCAGCCCAGCCCAGUGGUGAUGUUGUAACCACUCCAUUUGUUACUACAACAGGGGUUGUUGUGGUAUGUUCUUCUGUGACUGUUGUGAUGCAGAUGCAGGGUACCAUCCCUGAUCACACUGCUGAUCAAGAUGAUCUCCCAUCUCUUGAGAAACGGGAAGCCGCUUCCAGCGCUGGAUGCUCAGCAUUGAGGGCCAAAUUGUUUGCGAAGGGAUCCAGUCCACCUUUGUGACAGGACUGGCGUCUUUUUUUCCUUCCUGUUUUUACAUCUUUAACCUACAGUACCAAGAGGAGGCAGCCUGCACGCUUGAAUUCAUCCAGAGAUGAUUUGUGGGUUGACCCAGAAAAAAAGGACAUAUGUUGCAAAGGGGAAAAAACGAAGAACGGUCAAUUCACACGUUGCCAGCCUCUUGCGCAGACUCAUGGACUUUCAGUGGGAUUUUAUUUGAAAAUGGUGAGUUAGAUGUAUACAUUACACAUAUGUUCAAACAGCAAUGACUCAGGAAGGUGGGGAAAUUCAUUCUCAACUCCCCUUCAAAGUUAGAAUGCUGAACUCCUCUUCCAUGCUCUUUUGUCAUUCUUUUUUUUGUUCUUUCAAUGACUUUUACUCAUCAUACUUUCUAUUAUUUUAUGUUAUUCUGUCUGCUUUGUGCUCUGUUCCUGAAAUUAGCUUUUGGUCAAGCCAUGUGAUUUAAUUUUGGUGUGCUUUGUUUUACAAAAUGGUUAGUGGUCUAAGCAGUGACAGUGUUUUUAUUGUUUAUUGCUCUUUACAGUAUUGACCAGGAGUUCCAUGAAUUUAAGUAAAGUCUUGGCUUGAAUGUAUUCAUACAUGUUGAAUUUCAGUGGUUUGGGUAACAUUAAGUGUUGAGGUUCAGUAUUUUGUUAUAUUGAACAAUGGAUUUGGGUUUAAAAAUGUAUUUGCUACAACUAUUUUUAAGCCAUGAACAUGAGAUUUGUUUGUGAUUAAUCUGAGACUAUGUGUAACAUUUUUGAGUGACCAGGAGUUUGAGUCUUUUUUUGCUGAAUUUUAGCAGUUCAGGGAACAUUAAAUGUUGAGGUUUAGGAUCCUAUCUUGCACCCGGUGCAGCACAACGCAAUGCCCGAUGCAAGUUUCUUUGCUAGUUCAAGACCGACACAGUUGUCAGUUUCCCGUCCUGUGCCAGCGUCGUUUAAACAGUAAAUGCACCUGCACCCAUCUGUGGCCCAUG